UUCAAACCCAUGACCUCUGACUCCCAAGCCUGGGCCCUUUCCACUGAGCAAAGGAAAAUGUCAGUCAUGACCCAACGCACUGGUGAAGAUUGGUGAGGACACAUCUCCCCCAGAAAGCCCCACCUCCAUCUGCAACUGUUCUGCUUUUUGGCCGCCGACCGCCGACUCACCCACGCCGGGACUGCCUCUCCCAGGAGCUGAGCCUUGUCACCGCCCGGACCCUUGGAGCCCUUAGCACGUGGACUCGGGAUCUCUGCUCCCCUGGGGCGCAGCCUUGGAGCGCCCGGCCCCGAUUCCCGACGAGGCCUUUGCCUGCCGCUCACCGACUCAUCCGCGCGUCCACCGCCUCCCCCGGUGAACUGCGCCUUGGACCGCCCAGACCCGCCCCUGCCUCAUCCUUUCGCAACCUGGACCUUCACACCCCUGCUCAAGGACUCCGAC